GCCGGGGGCAGCGGGGCAGGGAGGGAACGGGGCGCGCUCGGGGCUCGCAGGAGGCGUUUGAGCUGCAGCAGCAGUAACACCACUGUCUGUCUGACUCAGUGAGUUCAUCAUGACGUCUCUUUCAAGUCUGCUUCUCCAGUCUGUUCCUUCAAGAGAAGGCUUCCUUUUUCAAGAAGGGUUUAAUAGGGGCCUCUGAAUAGAGAAGGCAUUAAAUAAUGAUAUGGAAGUGCAUACAGGUGCUGUUGCAAGUUAUGAUUUCAUGUCCACACCUGCUUGCCUACCAUGGUACUGUGGGGUUGUGAACAUCUCUGGUAUUUAUACAUCCAAGGAGAGGCAAGAACAUAAACUUAUUCUCAAGCUACAGUUGUCACAUCAAAAUGUCCACUCCUCCGUUUGUAAUCGAUGAACAGACAAUCCUUCACACCUCGCUCAAUGGCUUGCUGGGAAGCUUUCAUAACC